rnacentral:rRNA from 1 species
AGUGAACGCUGGCGGUAGGCCUAACACAUGCAAGUCGAACGGCAGCACAGGAGAGCUUGCUCUCUGGGUGGCGAGUGGCGGACGGGUGAGGAAUACAUCGGAAUCUACCUUUUCGUGGGGGAUAACGUGGGAAACUUACGCUAAUACCGGAAUACGACCUACGGGUGAAAGUGGGGGACCGCAAGGCCUCACGCGAUUAG